rnacentral:rRNA from 1 species
UAGAGAUGUGUGAUGACGCAUAUCAAUAAGCGGAGGAAAAGAAACUAACAAGGAUUCCCUUAGUAACGGCGAGUGAAGCGGGAAGAGCUCAAAUUUGAAAUCUUCAAGGUUCUACCUUGACGAAUUGUAGUUUAUAGAAGUGUUUUCUGUUAGUAGAGUGGCAAAAGUUCUUUGGAAUAGGACAUCAUAGAGGGUGAGAAUCCCGUAUUUGGUCAUUCUUUCUAGCUUUGUGAUACACUUUCAACGAGUCGGAUUGUUUGGGAAUGCAGUCCAAAAUGGGUGGUAAAUUUCAUCUAAAGCUAAAUAUUGGCGAGAGACCGAUAGCGAACAAGUACCGUGAGGGAAAGAUGAAAAGAACUUUGAAAAGAGAGUUAAACAGUACGUGAAAUUGUCAAAAGGGAAGCGUUUGACACCAGUGUUGUUUUUCCGAAAAUCAAUUACGAAUGUUUUGUUUUUGAGAAGUUAUGACUUCAUCGGCUUGCUUCUCUCUUUACGAAACUUUCUUAAUGCACUUUUCGGUUAACAAGUCAACAUCAAUUUCUUUUGUUGUAAAAGGGUAUGAGGAAGGUGGCUUUCUUUUCGGAGAAAGUGUUUAUAGCCUUGUGCCUCUGCAAUCGGAGAGAUUGAGGUCUGCAGCGUAGAUCCUUCGGGGUUAGAUACAUUUGUGCUAAGUUAUAGCUUUUCAUAGACAACUUGUUGACUAUGUUUAGUCUUGUAGCUUACUCGCUUAUGCUAUUUUACCUACGCUUAGGAUGUUGAUCUGUAGUGCGUGCGC